rnacentral:rRNA from 1 species
ACCAAAUUGAAAUAUUAAAAUCAGACAGAGAAGCUUUCAAGACUUCGAACUGACAAGCAGUGGCGCUCCUUCCCUCGUCAACGGCUUUGUCUUCUUCCUUUCUCUCCUUCCCUUCCCCUUCUUCCCCAACCUCCCCUCCCCGUUCUGAAUUCCCAUCUCCUUCUUGCGUUUGCCUGUAUAUAUCACACACCAAACACCCUUCGGAGGCCGUGAGGUCGGAAGAAAGGGGAGCCACCUUUGACUCCUCUCUCUGCUAGUUCUUGAGGGGAUUUCGGGUGGUACCAGAGGAUUAAUUAGUGGAUUUGUAUUCUUGGAGAUACAAGUUCUUGGAGAGGCUGCUAGUUCUUGGAGAGUUUUUCCUUUUCUUGUCCUUAGAGAGAUUCAUGCCCAGGAGUUCACCCUGAGGAGCUGGUAUUGUUCUGUCUUCUGUCUGAGGGUUAGCGUGAGAGGAUCCACCUUUGAGUUGACCGACCAGAAUUCUUGAAACAAAUUUUGUUGGUUUUUGCGUGGAUCGGUCGUUAGGUUCGUUGAUGUUUGCUCAGUUCUACUAGUUGCAAGGACGGCUGGGGCACCUUGUGUGGAGAGAAUUUUGGUGCUUCUCUCAAGAACCGUUGGGGCAAAUUAGCCCCCUCGUUUCUUG